AGCUAUUAUAGAAACAUUCGACGCUUUAGUGGAAGCCAUCAAAGCCUUAAUGGGGACUUUAAUUGAGUAACGAAGCGUGAAGAACAAACAUAAAAUUAUAAAGACUUCCGGUAAAAUAUUCGAUGGAUUUUUAUUAAUAUGUUUGAUGUGUCUAUUUAUCUGGUUUCAAUAUUUUGCUGAUCAUUUUUGCUUUAGGUAAAACGAUUAUGUAAGAAAAUAGUUUUGAGUUGUGUAAUUUAUUUAUUUAGUUGGCGUAUACUUUUCGCCAAUGUAAUAAAGAUUGAUGACUGAGGA